AGGACAAACCGAGCGACCAGUCCAAGUAUACAGAAGGCUGCUGAAUAAAGGAGGAAGGGGGGGGGGAGCUAAUUAUUCCAAACAGGCUUCAUUAUGGCGAGUCUCGGUGACAGUAAUAAGGACAGGAACACGCGUCCGCGCUAUCUGGGCGCUUUUUGAAUAAUCUCUGAAGCACUCUCCAACGGCUCGUCCUUAACCGCGGCAGACGAGCGAGGUGCUAUCUCGCUGCUUUUGUUUUCCUCACAGUUUUACCGUGUUGCAGGGUUCGCGGGGAGAGGCCACGGUUUUGUAUCACGCGGCAUUGUGAGAGGAUCUUUUCUUUUUUUUCUUUUUUCUUUUGAUAAACCGUUUUUGCCCCUCUAGCGCGGGAAGAAAUAGCUGAGCGCUCACACAACCUGUGCAGCGUGAAAGAGGGGGAGCGAGAGAGAGAGAGAGAGAGCGAGCGAGGGAGGCCACGUUCUCUCACAUUGGCCUGUCUGGGAGAGAAGAAUGCUGAUUUGCUGGAGAUGAGACACUGGCUCGCUGUCCUCCUUCAGAGCCGCUCAGAGAAUGAUGGAAGGCUGCCAUGGUCACCUGUGACGGCUCAGCCGGCUGUCACGCGCGGUACCGGUCCACUGAUGAGAGUGAAAUUACUUCAUAAUAGUAGGGGUGUUCCUGGGUUUAUACAACGAUAUGAUAAUCCUCUUUUCACACAAUGAUGAUAAUGAUCAUUAUUAUGGCAGGGGAGUAGGGGGCGAGGAAACGGCUCGGAAUGGAGACUUUGCGGCAUAAUCCUUCUGCCUUCAAAGGUUAAAUACGGAUUUGAAUACUAUGAUCCCCCCACUCUGAAAACGAUAGUGGUGCAUUUGAAGCAAAUGUGCUCAUUGUGCACUUUACCUCGCGGAGGAGCGGCAUGAGUGCCACCACCAAAGAAGGUCGCCAUGUGGUAAAAAACGAAUCAAUAAUGCAUUAUGGAGAAUGCCUGACUCAAAGGAAUCCACUGUUGGAGGAGUUGUGGUAAGUUUAAUUGGGGCUGUUGCAGCCUGAAGGUUAGCGGAGCGGGCUUUGGACCAGAACCACCAGAGCGGGAAAAAUGUGGGGAGUGUGUGAACGUGUAAUGCUCUUCUGCUCCCUUAAUGUUGCCCUACAGUGCCAGCAUGUUUCCCUUAAAACCCAGCUGCUCUAGUGGAUUGUAUCCGCUGCAAACAACAGAAAGUGGGAUGAGCAACGUCCAGUGGACGCCCAGUUACAUCCCGUCUCUAAGGGUGAAUUUGUGUAGCUUUGUAUAUAUAUCUCUAUCGAUAUGUGGGCAUCUAGCAACAAUGUGGUCAAGACUCCCAAGACUCCCACUCCCAUACACGUGGAACACAAGGUGUGUAUUUACAAACAAAUAUAUAUAUAUACACUAUAUAUUAAUAUACAUGUGCUGGGCAGCAAUCAACAUUUUUUAUCAUGGUUAAUCGCAUGAUUUGUUUUUUAAUUAUUUUAAUUUAUUUAAUGAUUCAUUCAAAAGUAGUGUAUUGCACACUUUUUUAUUUAUGCAAACACUAAACAAUUUAAGUGUCUUUCAACUCCAGUAUCCCCUUACGCAGCAGCAGUCAGAAUGUCUUUUGUAAAUCUCAAAUUAAAAUAUAAUUUAAUCAAAUGAAAUAAUGAAACCAAAGCUAAUUGCCACUGCCAACGCAUUCACAUUUGAUCUAGUUUGUUUUAGCAAAACACGUUACAUUAUUACAAGCACCUUCUGAGCAACAGCAAGCUAACAUUCAUGAAUCUCUGUUAUUUUAUUUUAGAAAGUUGAUGUUUAUUAAUGUUUAUAAGAAGCAGUACAUACGGACUUCCUUCCCGCCAAUCGGUUCAUGGGAGCUUAAUCCCAGUCUUAAACCCGCCCCAAUGCUCUCAUUGGUUGACACGCUUGAAGGACUCAUCGCACCCUCACUGUGACCAAUGGUGCGCCUGCAUGUGUAUUAAGAACCAGUGGGCAACAGACUUCUAGAAUAAUAACAAAAAAAACAAAACUGUUCUAAUAAUUGUGGGUGUAAAUGAAUUCUAAUAACUUGUUAGUGUGCACAGCACUAAUAUAAAUAUACACAUCACACAUCACAGCGGCCGAUACAUUGUUGGUCGAUCCAGCACUAGUUUGUCUCACAAAUAAUAAAGUCAAACAAGUAAUGCAUCUUCUUCAUUAUAUAUAUCAUUUAUUUAUACUAAUUCUAAUUAUGUAUUCAACUUUCCCAACGACAAGUGAUUUGUUGUUCACAACGUAGCCUGAAACAAAGAGCGCGCACGAGCGGCGUGUAGUUGCAGUUUGCCCGCGUGCUUUACUCACGGUGCUGAACGGGGAUCGGGUAGCGAGUGACACGUGUUGUUGUUGGUCCUGUGUAGCCUAAUUGAUGUUUCCCAUGUUGUCCAUUAUAUUCCAGCGUGUAAGCCCUAGAUCAAAAGUCAGAGGAUCUCUACAGUCCUGAGGAUUUAUCCUCUGGGCACCAUGACUGCCUGCCAAAAAUGUAAGAGCACGGAGGCUCGUGCUAAGUCUAAUCUCCAAGACUUUAAAGAGUCUAAAAAGUGCGUAUGACAGCCGAGGAAAUUCUUUUUAAUGUUUAUACCUCUGACCUCAUUCUGCAAGACAGAUGUGCGCGGCUGGAUUAAGUCGGAAGUGUGCUCACGAGCACCUGUGACCUCACCCAGCAGUGAUGUCACACUGCACCGACUGUGACAAUUUGAACUCCCGAAGGGCUUUGAGAACAACAAUGUCCGUUUAAAAAAAGAAUCAUUUGGAGACCUGAUGCAGUCUGGCUGCAUUAUCAGUUUUACAAAGUAUUCCAUGGUAUUGCAACUCAACACUCAAUAAUGUUAUAACUAUGUAGAGACCCUGAAUAUGAAGCUACUUCAUUUCUUAAUGCAUCAUCAACUACAAUUGAUUUUAUAAUUAAUGUAAUACUGUGGGGCAAACUGCUAAUUAAGUUAUGCUCAUUUAAAAAGAAGGUUGAUCCAUCGUGAGUCAGGAACAGUUGGAUAUUUUAAGACAUUUAUCGGGGAAUUGUUUUUGAUUUCUGUAAUAAAGUAGGAGAAUUUAAACGUGUGUAAAUGUAACUGUCGACUCUUCUUCACCGCUCGCAGCUCCACGCUGUCUACACCAGGAAACGGUUGACUUUUGUAAUCUUGCAAACUCGUUGAACAUCCGCUCAUUUCCCAAAGUGCCUCCUGUCGUUCAUCUCAAGAAGAAUUCAAUGAACUUUCGGGGGGGUCGGAUUAUUACUGUGAAUGCAGUGUUUUGGCUGCAUCUUGACUUUUCUGUUCAAAACUGACACUGUGUUCUUUCUUUGACAUUAUUGGUAACAUGAUUUUUUUUUUUUACUCAUGAAAAGCUGCCAACUCGAAGAAACAUUGAAAGUUGUUUUGCUGCAGUUGGGAAAAGGAAAGGUUAGACACCACUUCAGCUUAAAGAGUGCUCAGUCCCAACAAAGGGAGCAGAUGCUGUACGCAUUACCAAACAAAAAGAAAAGUUUGUGUUGCACCCAAAGAAAGAGAAGCAAUUUGGUAAAAAAAAAAAAAUGAACAGGAAAUACAACUCAAGUGUAAACCUUUAAAAUGCAGCAACUGGCUUUGAAACAGAAGUGAAUAGAAGUUCCACUUUCACCAAUAAAGGAUGCAGCUAUUUAUGUCAGUAUGGGGCUGGUAUCAGAUAUCAGUAAAGACUCUAUUAAACACCAAUGAGUCAUUUGUUCUGGGUGUAUGAUGAUAAAACAUAUAGCAUAUUGUUUUUGUUUUGUCCACUGUGUAAAAAGAGCUUCACACCCAGAGUUUAUAUCGAUAGAACCGAUCUGACCUGCACCCAGACGAGUUUGACCCUUUAACCCUGAGACAGCUGCAAAGAUUAGUCAGGAAAGGACCGGGUUUCAAUCUGCUUUAUUUAAAACAAUGUCGAUCACAAUGCUGCUCGUUAGAAACGGCUCUGGACAUCUUCAGUGGGGACACGACCAUCACGCCUGUACUGGGAAAGGAGAUUUGCUUGUAACAUGGUGGUAAUGUGCUUAAAAAAAACAGGUAGUGUCAUAGUAGUAUUCUCUUUGCCAAUAUUAGUGUUUUUUACUGUAUCAGCUUCUUGUCUCACGCUGCCAUUUAUUUUUUAUAUAAUUGUGCGAUUGUGUUUAAUCAAAACAAUAAUUCCUCCUUUGGGAUUUUAUGCAAAAUCCCAUCUUGAAGUUUUUUUUAAAUUUAAGCCAAUGUCGAGGCUCGGUGAAUACCAACAGGACAUGAGGGAUGCUCUGCCUCCAGACUCUGCCGUUUGCAUUUGCAUGAUGCUGCACAUGUGUGCGCGUGGGUGCACAUGUUGGACCCGUGCGCGCGUACGCGUGCGGCGCAGCGAGCGGGAGGAGUGCAGCAGGGGGCUGUGUAGUUUGUGCCAAAUUUCCAACAUGAUUUACAUUCCCAAUGUAAUGUAUUAAAUCGUCGACAGGGCAAAAGGGAUUCACUAGAUGCUGCAUUAGAAACUCAAUUUCUGUGAUGAAUUGCCUGAAGCCAAUGAAUUACAAACUGCUCCCUACCACCUUCCCCGACUGCUCUCCCCCUCCCUCCACUCCCCGUGGCUCAGAAGUUUCUUCUUCUUUUUUUUUUGUGAGUGUCAAAAUCUUCUUAAACCUCUCUCUUAAUCUGAUCUGCUGAAUGUGAGAGGGUGAAAGGAUUUUCAGACUCAAAAAGCAUUCGUUUUCCGUCUUGUUGUGCAUUGCCUUUUUCCCCCAAGUGCUGGGUCAGUAAUAUUCAAAAGUUGCUGCUUUGCUCUUCCGUCUCCCCGGCACCACUGCGCUUGUCUCGGGGCUUAUGGAUGUCCUCUCCACACCUACUCUUUCCUCAUUAUGUGUGACUGCUGAAAAGCUGCCGGUGCACUAAACUAACUGUGAGCAUUAUUAACUAAGUAGUGCAGAUUGAUGGCGACAAAUAUUCAUAUAGGGCGCGAGCCCUUGUGAUAUACACACCCGACAUACACAGAGUGACAUGAUGAAUGGAACCUCUGUGGUGAUCAGUCAGUGGUGCUAAGAAGGAAUGGCAGUGUGCAAAACAAUGUUUUAUGGGGAUAACAUUCCGUAUGCAUGAAACCAGGGAUUUUAUGAAAGGCGUUAUGUCGCUAAUCACUAUUUGAUUUGUUAGACACCCAAAUCACACAGUUUUUGAACUCAAAAUACAAAAUACUUUGAGUGUCUGUUUGCAGGAUUAAUAUAGUUUCAAGCCAAAUAAAUUAUUUGACUGUUUUGUCCAUUCGGACAGUCCAUUGAUUUCUCCUGAGUUCACGGAAAUGUUUCAAUAGAUGAUACCUCAUUUGCAUAUUUAAUACAAAACAAAAAAUGGUUGUUUUAAUGCAUGUCAUCAACUAGGGAAGUUCAAUCGUGCCACCAUUUAACCACCAGUUUUGUUUUUAAUGUCGUCCAAAUGUCUCAAAUUUAAUAAAAACACAUGUUUAAAGA